rnacentral:lncRNA from 1 species
AAUUAGAGAAAUAAUAACUACUGAUGAAAUAUCUAUAUGAACUUAGUGGUAUUUUUUCAGUUCUAAAAAUGUUUAAAUCAUAUUUUCAUAUUUUGUUCUACAUAAAGUAAAAUUGACAUUCUAAGAAGUAGAAAAUGAAAUCCAAUUUUUUAUUGAAUUUAAUAUAUUUAGAGUAUGUGAUUAUGUAAAUAAUAGUACUCUAAAAAUAUUUAAAAUACACAUUCCACGUUUAACCUAUCGCUCUAAAAUUUGUAGAAAUCGAAAUCUAUAGAUUACUAUAAAUCUAAAACCUG